GGAAGUUAAGAGGAGGGGCAUAGGUUGGAAGGGGUGGGCCGGGUCUCUCUAGCCUCCGCGGUACUACGCAGCUUCAUGGUUUUAACUCUUGGUGGUCUUUUGACCGUCCUCAGUCCUUACCGUGCGGAGUUUUGGAUACAUUCUUAGCAGCUUUUUCGCUCCGGAGAAGUUCUUUAUCUUUCUGAGCCGCAGUUUGCCCAACUGCAAAAUGGAAAGAGAUGAAGCAGGAAUUAAGAUACUCUAGGAGCUCGCCCACAGCUGAUUCAGGGCCCCAUUCUGAGGUUACACCCUUAAGCCUUUGCACCACUCAAAGGAAGGAAACCAAGAGAGAGGGGUGGCUGGCUGCUGUUUGGAGACAGUGGUCCUUGUAUUGGCGCCCCGCGGAAUCACUCCAGAUGAGUCAGUGGAUACAGUCUAUAGGUCCCGCCUCAUUUUGCUACCAGACUACGCACUGUCGCCUGAUGGUUAAGAACUGAAGCUUUAGCCGUGCGCGGUGGCUCACGCCUGUAAUCCCAGCACUUUAGGAGGCAGAGGCGUGUGGAUCACCUGAGGUCACGAGUUCGAGACCAGCUUGACCAACAAGCUGGCAUAUCCGAAUGGGCUGAGCUACCGGAUUAAGAGGGACACCCCAAAGCCCCCAUUGCUGGGUUAUUGCUCCAGAGCCAAUGUUCUUGGGGAAAGGAAGAUAUGCCCUUUGUCAACAUUGCCACUGCUGGUCUGUAAACUCCUAGACGGCCAGCUGGUGGUUCACAAACCAGGACUCCUUGCUCUGGCCCUACCCCUACCUACCAGAAUGACCGUGAACCCUUCCCCACUCACUCCUACAACCAGGUUUCCAUCUCCUCUCUCAGCUUAGGUUUCCCUAACUGUAAAAUAAAAGGGUUGGACUAGGUUAAGGACUUCCUGCUAUUUCUCUCUCCCACACUCUAAGGUUCCUUAGGAAUGCUUCAGAAAACAGCAGGGGUUGGGGCAAGGAUGCCGCUUGAGUCCCAGAGCAACUCCAAUUUCAUAGGCACAUAAAUUUAUGUGAAAGUAUAUA
ensembl:lncRNA LINC01635 long intergenic non-protein coding RNA 1635